rnacentral:lncRNA from 1 species
UCUUAUAAUGAACCCCAACAUCUUACCGGACCGCACUCUGAUAGUGCUCUUGUUCAAAUUCAACCUCAGUUUGAAUUGCCUCGCCCAGUCAACCGACUUGUCCCGGUCUACCAAAUGCCCCACUUCUGCUUGGGACUUUGCUAUCAUGUCAUAGCAUCUGAUUCCAUGAUGAAUCAUAUCAUGAAACAAAGUCACCCUGAUACGCGGCAUCGGCGCCCUGCUUCUCAAGAGGACAGUCUUC